GAAGGGAGUUCAGAGGACCUGCUGGA
rnacentral:piRNA from 1 species